rnacentral:ncRNA from 1 species
UGAUAGCGUUGAUCCGUGAGGUUGCUGCCUUGAGCAGGUAAUUUGCGGGGAGCGAAUGUCAAGUCAAGAUACUGGCGACAA